UAGGUAGGUAGGGGAAUUCGCCUCAUUGCGCGUCCAGAAAGAAUGUGAGACUGGCAAGUUUUAUUUCCUUAUUUAAAUCAUAUGCAACUCCAAAUUCCUCUUCAACUUUAAGGAAUGGAGAGAAAAUAUAUAUAUAUUCAAUCUAGGAAGCUUACGAUAGAUUCCUCCCGCGCCCCCCCCCUCCCCGUCGACUAACAUUAACUCAUUUCAAAUAAGAUGAUGAUAGGCAUCAAAGUACACUCAGCGAUUACAGGCUGUGGGGUGCCAUGCCCGCCAGUGAAAAGCGCUGCCCAGCCUUCCGCCACCAGGGCUCAGGGACAAACCCGAAAGGGCAGGUGAGAGGUCGAUUGGCGGCGAGGAGCUCCAGGACCUGGGCGCGUCCCUCCGCUCCAGCAAUCCACUGAGUCGAUGUGAACAUCGCCUAUUCACUGAUGAGGACCUGAGUGUUAAAUAACACAUCCAAGUUCAAGCCGUGAUGGAACUGGAAUUUGAAAUUAGGUUAACAAUAGCAACCCAUCAGACACACUGAGAAAAUUAUGAAGCAAACUCUUUGACCUAAGGAGAGGCCAACUACAGUCCUCGUGGCUUUGUAGUGGGCUCUUUCGUCAGACGUUUUGUGUAAUAAGCUUUAUUCGUGGUAAACAUUGCACCUUUUUAUCCAAGCAAUACUAAGGUUACCCUCCCCCCUCCCCCCA